rnacentral:rRNA from 1 species
UGACCGCGUAUGAAAGUACGUUUUCACCCUCGGGUCGACGAGGGAGACAGGUGGUGCAUGGUUGUCGUCAGCUCGUGUCGUGAGAUGUUGGGUUAAGUCCCGCAACGAGCGCAACCCCUACGUUUAGUUGCUAACGCGUGAAGGCGAGCACUCUAGACGAACUGCCGUUGACAAAACGGAGGAAGGUGGGAUGACGUCAAAUCAUCAUGCCCCUUAUGUUCUGGGCUACACACGUGCUACAAUGGCCGGUACAGACGGACGCAAAGCCGCGAGGUGGAGCAAAUCCUAAAAAGCCGGUCUCAGUUCGGAUUGCAGGCUGCAAUUCGCCUGCAUGAAGUCGGAAUCGCUAGUAAUCGCAGGUCAGCAUACUCGCGGUUCGAAUACGUUCCGGGCCUU